CCUACGGGAGGCUGCAGUGGGGAAUAUUGCACAAUGGGGGGAACCCUGAUGCAGCGACGCCGCGUGAGUGAAGAAGUAUUUCGGUAUGUAAAGCUCUGUCAGCAGGGAAGAAGAAAGACGGUACCUGACCAAGAAGCCCCGGCUAACUACGUGCCAGCAGCCGCGGUACUACGUAGGGGGCACGCGUUAUCCGGAUUUACUGGGUGUAACGGGAGCGUAGGCGGGAGGGCAAGUCUGGAGUGAAAGGAUGGGGGCCAACCCCUGGAUUGCACUGGAAACUGGCCGGCUGGAGUGCAGGAGAGGUAAGUGGAAUUCCUAGUGUAGCGGUGAAAUGCGUAGAUAUUAGGAGGAACACCAGUGGCGAAGGCGGCUUACUGGACUGUAACUGACGUUGAGGCUCGAAAGCGUGGGGAGCAAACAGGAUUAGAUACCCCAGUAGUC
rnacentral:rRNA from 1 species